CCCAGAAAACUGAAACUUAUUAAGUGUAUAACUCUGACUUUAAUCCAUAGCCUUAAGUAGGGAAAUUAUUAAUCAUUAAACCUACUUUUCCGUUAUAUUAUGUAUAUUAGACAUUCAAAACUUGCCAAAUAAUAACAACUAGAGAGCAAAUAUAAUGGAGGAAUUGCCUCUGCGCUGGUAUCAUAUAGUCUUGUACUAUAGCCAAUCUUGUACGGUAAUAACGGCGUAGCUACUUUAUAUCUUACCAAAUAUAACUUUCUUUUGAGAACUUUAUUAAUUAUAAAUAAACAUAAACUUACUUCCUGUCCCAUUAUCAACUAGUUCACCUAUACAAAAUAAUUUAAAAAAAUACAGAGGAUUCCGCUUAAUGUGACCACCGGUUAAUUCGGGCAGCCACCUAAUAUGGGCAUAAUAAUCUGAUUACGGUUCUAAUGUAUACGAAACCCAUUUGUGAAACCCAUUUAAAUAGGCAGCUGCCUUAUAUAGGGAAAUAUAACUGGUCCCAACGUUAAGUCGAAUCCACUGCAUUUAUAGUUCAAAUAAUUUACUCUUAUUUAAAAUAUAUAUAUAUUAUAAAUCAUUCAUUAUUCAAUUUAAAAAAAAAUAUAUAUUAAUAAUACAUAAAUUACUU